rnacentral:rRNA from 1 species
GCAGCCGCCGCGGGAAUACAGAGGGUGCAAGCGUUAAUCGGAAUUACUGGGCGUAAAGCGCGCGUAGGUGGUUUGUUAAGUUGGAUGUGAAAGCCCCGGGCUCAACCUGGGAACUGCAUCCAAAACUGGCAAGCUAGAGUACGGUAGAGGGUGGUGGAAUUUCCUGUGUAGCGGUGAAAUGCGUAGAUAUAGGAAGGAACACCAGUGGCGAAGGCGACCACCUGGACUGAUACUGACACUGAGGUGCGAAAGCGUGGGGAGCAAACAGGAUUAGAUACCCGCGUAGUCCCUGUCUCUUAUAC